CCUACGGGUGGCAGCAGUGAGGAAUAUUGGUCAAUGGACGGAAGUCUGAACCAGCCAUGCCGCGUGCAGGAUGACGGCUCUAUGAGUUGUAAACUGCUUUUGUAUUAGGGUAAACACCCCUACGUGUAGGGGCUUGAAAGUAUAAUACGAAUAAGGAUCGGCUAACUCCGUGCCAGCAGCCGCGGUAAUACGGAGGAUGCGAGCGUUAUCCGGAUUUAUUGGGUUUAAAGGGUGCGCAGGCGGGAGAUCAAGUCAGCGGUAAAAUGUCGGGGCUCAACCCCGGCCGGCCGUUGAAACUGGUUUUCUAGAGUUGGAGAGAAGUAUGCGGAAUUCGUGGUGUAGCGGUGAAAUGCAUAGAGAUCACGAAGAACUCCGAUUGCGAAGGCAGCAUACCGGCUCCAUACUGACGCUGAGGCACGAAAGCGUGGGGAUCGAACAGGAUUAGAUACCCGUGUAGUC
rnacentral:rRNA from 1 species